UAGAAACACCUGAGACGGGUGAUCAGC
rnacentral:piRNA from 1 species